AACCGCCGUAUGCGGAACCGCACGUACGGUGGUGUGAGGGGGCGACGGGGGUAACCCCGUUCCCCACUCGAU
rnacentral:ncRNA from 1 species